UCAUGCCCUGAGCUGAAAGGCAGACGCUUAACCAACUGAGCCACUCGGGCGCCAACCAAAACGUUUUCAUGCAAAUGCCUGGGAUGCCCAGAAUUCUACUGUUGAAAGACUCUUUGGAUUAAGGCCAUUGGGCCUCCAAAGAGGCCCUCUGUGUGCUGGUAUGUCCCUGAGGCAGAGCUGCAGGCGAGCACAUCAUCACAGGGACCCAAGAAGUGGUGGUGGUCGGCUCCAAAGAGUCAGAGGUGGUGGAGGCCCAAGAGGACGGAGCUGCUGGAACAGCCUGAGGCCAAGGAAGAGGCUCUGAGGCCCGCAUCCUGGUUCCGGCGGGGCGUUCUUCUGAGGAUAAAAACGCAACCCUAUGGGGCAAACGUGGGAGCCCCUCACAGGCCCCUUGGCUGGGAAGCGACACUCCUGUAAAUUCUACGGUGCCCACGUCCGCGAGCAUCUUCUUCACCAUUUUGAAAAAUGGCAUAAAUGGCACCAUCAUGGAUCCGCUGUAUCAGGCCCACGAUCCACCUAGAACAACGCGACUCCGAUGAGGGGUAGCCGUGUAUAUGUGGGAAGGCCCGGCUGGCCACUCCAGCUUCCUCAAAUAGUCCUUCAUCUACCCUUGGUUCCCUUUAAGCACCCACUCUGUCACAACCCAGUAAGUGUAGAGCUCAGUGGAUUUUUACGUAUGUGUACAUCUGUGUCACCACCACCCAGAUAAAAAUGGAGAACAUUCCAGCACCCUAACGCACACCCUUGAGUCCCUCUCAGGAGCGACUCCCUCCAAGGGAAACCACUGUUCUGACCUCUAUCAUCAUGGAUUAGCUUCACCUGUCUCUUGAACAUCAUGUCAAUGGAAUUAUAGAGUAUGCAUUGCUUUUGGUCUUUUUUCAAAAACAUGAUUGUGAGAUUCA